CAGCCGCCGCGGUAAAACGUAGGUGGCAAGCGUUGUCCGGAAUUAUUGGGCGUAAAGGGCUCGCAGGCGGUUUCUUAAGUCUGAUGUGAAAGCCCCCGGCUCAACCGGGGAGGGUCAUUGGAAACUGGGAAACUUGAGUGCAGAAGAGGAGAGUGGAAUUCCACGUGUAGCGGUGAAAUGCGUAGAGAUGUGGAGGAACACCAGUGGCGAAGGCGACUCUCUGGUCUGUAACUGACGCUGAGGAGCGAAAGCGUGGGGAGCGAACGGGAUUAGAUACCCGUGUAGUCCCUGUCUCUUAUAC
rnacentral:rRNA from 1 species